rnacentral:rRNA from 1 species
AAUAGAUACCCAGGUAGUCCACGCCGUAAACGAUGAGUGCUAAGUGUUAGAGGGUUUCCGCCCUUUAGUGCUGAAGUUAACGCAUUAAGCACUCCGCCUGGGGAGUACGGCCGCAAGGCUGAAACUCAAAGGAAUUGACGGGGGCCCGCACAAGCGGUGGAGCAUGUGGUUUAAUUCGAAGCAACGCGAAGAACCUUACCAGGUCUUGACAUCCUCUGACAACCCUAGAGAUAGGGCUUCUCCUUCGGGAGCAGAGUGACAGGUGGUGCAUGGUUGUCGUCAGCUCGUGUCGUGAGAUGUUGGGUUAAGUCCCGCAACGAGCGCAACCCUUGAUCUUAGUUGCCAUCAUUCAGUUGGGCACUCUAAGGUGACUGCCGGUGACAAACCGGAGGAAGGUGGGGAUGACGUCAAAUCAUCAUGCCCCUUAUGACCUGGGCUACACACGUGCUACAAUGGACGGUACAAAGAGCUGCAAGACCGCGAGGUGGAGCUAAUCUCAUAAAACCGCUCUCAGUUCGGAUUGU